AACGAACGCUGGCGGCAGGCCUAACACAUGCAAGUCGAACGCUCGUAGCAAUACGAGAGUGGCAGACGGGUGAGUAACACGUGGGAACCUUCCCUUCGGUCGGGAAUAGCUCAGGGAAACUUGAGGUAAUACCGGAUACGCCCUUACGGGGAAAGAUUUAUCGCCGUUGGAUGGGCCCGCGUCGGAUUAGCUAGUUGGUGAGGUAACGGCUCACCAAGGCGACGAUCCGUAGCUGGUCUGAGAGGAUGAUCAGCCACACUGGGACUGAGACACGGCCCAGACUCCUACGGGAGGCAGCAGUGGGGAAUAUUGGACAAUGGGCGCAAGCCUGAUCCAGCCAUGCCGCGUGAGUGACGAAGGCCUUAGGGUUGUAAAGCUCUUUUGGCGGGGACGAUAAUGACGGUACCCGCAGAAUAAGCUCCGGCUAACUUCGUGCCAGCCGCCGCCGUAAAA
rnacentral:rRNA from 1 species